rnacentral:rRNA from 1 species
AAUGAACGCUGGCGGCAGGCCUAACACAUGCAAGUCGAACGGAUCCUUCGGGAUUAGUGGCGGACGGGUGAGUAAUGUAUCGGAACGUGCCCAGUCGUGGGGGAUAACGUAGUGAAAAUUACGCUAAUACCGCAUACGAUCUAUGGAUGAAAGCGGGGGAUCGCAAGACCUCGCGCGAUUGGAGCGGCCGAUAUCAGAUUAGGUAGUUGGUGGGGUAAAGGCCCACCAAGCCAACGAUCUGUAGCUGGUCUGAGAGGACGACCAGCCACACUGGAACUGAGACACGGUCCAGACUCCUACGGGAGGCAGCAGUGGGGAAUUUUGGACAAUGGGCGAAAGCCUGAUCCAGCCAUUCCGCGUGCAGGAUGAAGGCCCUCGGGUUGUAAACUGCUUUUGUACAGAACGAAAAGGUUUCUACUAAUACUAGGAGCUCAUGACGGUACUGUAAGAAUAAGCACCGGCUAACUACGUGCCAGCCGCCGCAGUAA